CAGGACUAUGUGCAUCUUAUAACUGGCAUUCAUCUCCGGCUCACACCGGCCAUCAGUGGACCUGGGGCACGGAACGAUAACGCAUUACCUAGGGUUUCCUACUUCAGAGCUCGAGGUCUCGGAAAAUAGAGAAAGGAUGUCUGGGGCACAGGCAAUAGGACUCAGGAAGUUCACCGCAGGGCUAGGAGGAAGAUGAAGAGGCAAAAGGCAGCGGCCAGCUUGGGAAAGGGAGACAGACUUUAAAUCCGGAAAAAGGAAAUCUCGACCUUAGGUUUGGAGUAGAGAACUUAAGAGACUUAGGCUGCUUGAUUCCUACCCUGGGGGGGAUUUGACUUCUGGGGCUGAAUGGACAAGACAGACGCCGCGUGAAAACCGCGAACUCACACCGUUUCUCACCUGUGUCCCAGGUCUACAGUCACCGCUCUGGAUCCGGUGCUGCUCCACAACGCUCGCAUCUGCAAAUAGCUGAGUGCCCGAUUCCGCCCGGGCCGGCCGAGGGGGCCGCAGCCCAGCGGUCGGAGGCACGGGCACAAGCAGCACAGCCUGCAGGCCGCCAUGACACCCAGAGCGUGGAAGGCCUGGGCAGCGCCUCAUUGGCCAGCACUCCUGUGGGCGGAGUCGGACGCAGUUUCGUUUCCGUGGAGCCUGCAAACUGCCGGGAAAGCAAUCCUUGCAGGCUUUCUGUAAUUGCCAGAGUCAAACCACCAGAAUGCGUUUCUUUCAGUCAGCUUUUAUUCCCCCACCCUUAUCGGUAGCUGUCCAAACACUGCUAGAAUAAUGAGUCUACAUCUUGUUAUACAUUUGCAGACACUUAACUAACUUUGUAACUAAAAGUGUCAUCAUAAACUGAGACCUACAGGAGUUUUCUUCAGAAAGAAUACAGCCUGCUUGACUUUAAGAAGCACUGCCGUGGGUCCUGCAAGAUCACGAAUCCUUUGUCACCCAGUCUGCUGAUCUGAACACUCCAACUGGUUGAACUCUGCUCUCCCCAGGGAC
rnacentral:lncRNA from 1 species